CAGCAGCCGCCGGUAAUACGGAGGGUGCAAGCGUUAAUCGGAAUUACUGGGCGUAAAGCGCACGCAGGCGGUCUGUCAAGUCGGAUGUGAAAUCCCCGGGCUCAACCUGGGAACUGCAUUCGAAACUGGCAGGCUAGAGUCUUGUAGAGGGGGGUAGAAUUCCAGGUGUAGCGGUGAAAUGCGUAGAGAUCUGGAGGAAUACCGGUGGCGAAGGCGGCCCCCUGGACAAAGACUGACGCUCAGGUGCGAAAGCGUGGGGAGCAAACAGGAUUAGAUACCCUGGUAGUCCACGCCGUAAACGAUGUCGAUUUGGAGGUUGUGCCCUUGAGGCGUGGCUUCCGGAGCUAACGCGUUAAAUCGACCGCCUGGGGAGUACGGCCGCAAGGUUAAAACUCAAAGGAAUUGACGG
rnacentral:rRNA from 1 species